UACGGAGGGUGCGAGCGUUGUUCGGAAUCACUGGGCGUAAAGGGCGUGUAGGCGGUCCGCUAAGUCUGAUGUGAAAGCCCGGGGCUCACCCCCGGAAGGGCAUUGGAAACUGACGGACUCGAGUCCCGAAGAGGAGGGUGGAAUUCCUGGUGUAGCGGUGAAAUGCGUAGAUAUCAGGAGGAACACCGGUGGCGAAGGCGGCCCUCUGGACGGUGACUGACGCUGAGACGCGAAAGCGUGGGAAGCAAACAGG
rnacentral:rRNA from 1 species